CCUACGGGUGGCAGCAGUGAGGAAUAUUGGUCAAUGGACGCAAGUCUGAACCAGCCAUGUCGCGUGAAGGAUGACUGCCCUAUGGGUUGUAAACUUCUUUUAUAAAGGAAUAAAACGAGGCACGUGUGCCUUUUUGCAUGUACUUUACGAAUAAGGAUCGGCUAACUCCGUGCCAGCAGCCGCGGUAAUACGGAGGAUCCGAGCGUUAUCCGGAUUUAUUGGGUUUAAAGGGAGCGUAGAUGGGUGGUUAAGUUAGUGGUGAAAGUGUGCGGCUCAACCUGAAAAUUGCCAUUGAUACUGGCCGUCUAGAGUACAGUUGCGGUAGGAGGAAUGUGUGGUGUAGCGGUGAAAUGCUUAGAUAUCACACAGAACCCCGAUUGCGAAGGCAGCUUACUAAACUGUGACUGACAUUGAUGCACGAAAGUGUGGGUAUCAAACAGGAUUAGAUACCCGGGUAGUC
rnacentral:rRNA from 1 species